rnacentral:lncRNA from 1 species
GAUUUAAUACCCUCUUUUGUCUUAGGGAAAACCCCCAGAUACUCUCAAAAGGAAAUGACGGGAGAGCUCAAGGAUGCAGGUUUGCAGUGAAUUGAUUUUCUGUCUCUGGAGAGCUCUAAUUACCUUCAAGUUACAGGCCCGUGCUGAUUAUUCCACACCCGUUCCUCCCCAUCCCUACCUGAUGUCUCUGACUUCCUCGGCUCUGCUGAGUCUCGGAAGACCAGCCUUUCCAGACCACAUCACUCAGCCCCUCGUGCCCACUUAUGGUUUUCUGCUGGGUUUGGACAAUGACAACAAGUAGAAGGAAAAGAGGAUGGGAAUGCUUCAAGGUAAUGUUGGCAGGUGUUGCAUAUGAACUCUGGCCUUCGGGGUAACCCCUCUUCUUCAGCUUUAACUCUCACUUGGACCUGACAAAGCCAUUCAUUUUUUCCCUUCCCUCUUCAGGCCAAGGGGUUGUAAAGACUCCCUGCUGUUACAAGUCCCUGGGUACCUCACCAGUCCUUUUUUUGUUUGUUUUUUAAUAUUUUUAUUUAUUUAUUUGACAGAGAGAUCACAAGUAGGCAGAGAGGCAGGCAGAAAGAGAGAGAGAGAGGGAAGCAGGCUCCCUGUCGAGCAGAGAGUCCGAUGUGCAACUCGAUCCCAGGACCCCGAGAUCAUGAACCUGAGCCGAACGCAGCGGCUUAACCCCCUGAGCCACCCAGGCGCCCCUCACCAGGCCUUUUUUCUUUAGUCCUGUUCCCUUCUCGAUAGAUACUCUAUCUCUUUCAAGUGAACCAUUUUGGACAGGCCAUUUUCAUCCAGAUGGCACCCUGUUUGCCCCAAGCUGCUUUCAUCUUCCCUUAAGUCCCAGAUACAAUUCUCUUUCUCUUUUUACCUCCCUCACAACUUCACAGAUUUGCUUUCAUUGGUUUGUAAAUACAUUCAAAUCUUAUCCGUACUAGGGUAUCCCCUGUCUCAUCUUUCUUUUUCUUUCACAGUUUUACCUUGUGGUAAUCUUUCAACCCUUUUGUCAAAGAGUUGUCUACAGAUACUAAAAUGUGGUAUUUGCUGAGUUGCCUGUGUUGCUCAGUCAGUUGAGCAUCUGACUCUUGGUUUCAUUCAGUUCAGUUCUUGAUGUGAGUUGUGAGAUCAAGCCCUGCAUCAGGCUCCACAUUCAGUGAGGAGUCUGCUUGAGAUUCUCUCUCCCUCUGCCCCUUCCCCCACUCGUGCUCGC